rnacentral:rRNA from 1 species
AUUGAACGCUGGCGGAAUGCUUUACACAUGCAAGUCGAACGGCAGCACGGACUUCGGUCUGGUGGCGAGUGGCGAACGGGUGAGUAAUAUAUCGGAACGUAUCCAAUAAUGGGGGAUAACUAAUCGAAAGGUUGGCUAAUACCGCAUACGUCCUACGGGAGAAAGCUAGGGACCUUCGGGCCUGGCGUUAAUGGAGCGGCCGAUAUCGGAUUAGCUAGUUGGUGAGGUAAAGGCUCACCAAGGCGACGAUCCGUAGCUGGUCUGAGAGGACGACCAGCCAAACGGGAACUGAGACACGGUCCAGACGCCUACGGGAGGCAGCGGUGGGGAAUUUUGGACAAGGGGCGAAAGCCUGAUCCAGCCAUUCGGGGUGAGUGAAGAAGGCCUUCGGGUUGUAAAGCUCUUUCGCAAGAGAAGAAAACUACCCCUCAAACAUGGGGUGAGUUUGACGGUAUCUUGAUAAGAAGCACCGGCUAACUACGUGCCAGCCGCCGCGGUAA